GGAAACUGAGACGCCAGAGCCUGAAAAAAUCACUGGAUUACUAUUACAACCUGGAUAUUGUUUUAAAUACAAUCGUUUCUUGAACACUUUUCAAUAAACUCCAAGAAGAUGAUUAAUGCCGAUUACUAAUCCUAGAUUAUAGAUAAAUUUACCAGCUAUACUGUGUUUAGUUGGUUAUACCUUAUACUUGGUACUCCUAACUCUUGUGCUCCAACUUGGAUUUUAGGUAUAAGCCGUGGCAGGGUACACGCCAGAGAUUGAUGUGUCUCAUUUAUCCAGAUCCGUAAGUUGACGUCAUGCUGAAAGAGGACGCUGUGAAUCAGAGCGUCAGAAAUGACAAAUAUUUUUUUUUAAUGCUCACUGCUUACAAGGAAUUUUUCAACUUACAUUACAACUACUUACAAUCUGCUUGCUUUUUUAAUUCAACUAGACUCUGCACUCGGAAUCUACCUGCGUGAUCACUCUUAUCAUUAUCAGCAAUUUUAAUUUUUAUCAAUCAUGCGUGAUCAUAAAUCAUGACCUAGAUGAAGAAAUUAAAAAAUUAAAAAUAUUAUUUUCAAGGAUUUCCCACUGUACCGGAUUGAGGUAACCGGAGCUUUAAAAUCCAGUAUAAUAUCACCGUCCAAGAUCAAAGUAUCAGAUGUUAUAAUUUUUAAUCCACUCGUUUAGUUUUUACUAAUGAAGU